rnacentral:rRNA from 1 species
CGGGUGCACUGAUCCGGCCGGGCCUUUCCCUCUGUGGAACCCCAUGGCCUUCACUGGCUGUGCGGGGGAAACAGGACUUUUACUGUGAAAAAAUUAGAGUGCUCCAGGCAGGCCUAUGCUCGAAUACAUUAGCAUGGAAUAAUAGAAUAGGACGCGUGGUUCUAUUUUGUUGGUUUCUAGGACCGCCGUAAUGAUUAAUAGGGACAGUCGGGGGCAUCAGUAUUCAAUUGUCAGAGGUGAAAUUCUUGGAUCUAUUGAAGACUAACUACUGCGAAAGCAUUUGCCAAGGAUGUUUUCAUUGAUAAGGAACGAAAGUUAGGGGAUCGAAGACGAUCAGAUACCGUCGUAGUCUUAACUAUAAACUAUGCCGACUAGGGAUCGGACGAUGUUAUUUCUUGACGCGUUCGGCACCUUUCGAGAAAUCAAAGUGCUUGGGCUCCAGGGGGAGUAUGGUCGCAAGGCUGAAACUUAAAGAAAUUGACGGAAGGGCACCACCAGGGGUGGAACCUGCGGCUUAAUUUGACUCAACACGGGGAAACUCACCAGGUCCAGACACAGUGAGGAUUGACAGAUUGAGAGCUCUUUCUUGAUUCUGUGGGUGGUGGUGCAUGGCCGUUCUUAGUUGGUGGAGUGAUUUGUCUGCUUAAUUGCGAUAACGAACGAGACCUUAACCUGCUAAAUAGCCCGUACUGCUCUGGCAGUUCGCCGGCUUCUUAGAGGGACUGUCGG